CCCUGGCCCCCGGAUCCUUGCCUUCCUGCACCCGCCUUCCCUGAGCGAGGCUGCCCUGGCCGCUGACCCCCGCCGUUUCUGCAGCCCUGACCUCCGUCGCCUCCUGGGACCCAUCCUGGAUGGGGCUUCAGUAGCGGCCACUCCCAGCACCCCGCUGGCCACACGGCGCCCCCAAAGUCCUCUUUCGGCUGAUCUCCCAGAUGAACUACCUGUGGGCACCGAGAAUGUGCACAGACUCUUCACCUCCGGGAAAGACACUGAGGCAGUGGAGACAGAUUUAGAUAUAGCUCAGAUGAGGAAACUGAAGCUCAGACUGUUGACCACAGGCACAGAACUCAGAAGUGAUGGUGCUGGGACUUCAGCCAAGGUCCACCCAAGUCCAAGGCUCAUCCUCUUACCUCCCUCCUGCCCUCCGCAGGAUGCCGAUGCUCUGGAUUUGGAGAUGCUGGCCCCCUACAUCUCCAUGGAUGAUGACUUCCAGCUCAACGCCAGCGAGCAGCUACCCAGGGCCUACCACAGACCUCUGGGGGCUGUCCCCCGGCCCCGUGCUCGGAGCUUCCAUGGCCUGUCACCUCCAGCCCUUGAGCCCUCCCUGCUGCCCCGCUGGGGGAGUGACCCCCGGCUGAGCUGCUCCAGCCCUUCCAGAGGGGACCCCUCAGCAUCCUCUCCCGUGGCUGGGGCUCGGAAGAGGACCCUGGCCCAGAGCUCAGAGGACGAGGACGAGGGAGUGGAGCUGCUGGGAGUGAGACCUCCCAAAAGGUCCCCCAGCCCAGAACACGAAAACUUUCUGCUGUUUCCCCUCAGCCUGGUGUGUUGGGGGAUUAAUGGGAUUCUCUGGCCCUCAUUACCUAGCUGGCUUAAACCUACUGUUUUAUAGAUAGGAAACCAGAGAGGGGCAGGGGCUGGUUGAGGGUCAUACAGAAAGUCAGUGGGCCAGCUGAGACUAAAGCCUGAUCUUCUAGUUUCACUAAUGGGUAUUAAAAACCUCUGCAGUGAACUGAGAUUGCGCCACUGCACCCCAGCAUGAGCGA
rnacentral:sRNA from 1 species